rfam:Ictidomys tridecemlineatus contig017414, whole genome shotgun sequence.
GAGGGUGUGGCUUAGUAGAGGAGUACUUGCAUAUUAUGUAUGAAGCCCUGGGUUCAAUCCCCAGCACCUCA